rnacentral:rRNA from 1 species
ACGUAGGGAGCAAGCGUUGUCCGGAAUUAUUGGGCGUAAAGGGCGUGUAGGUGGGCUGUUAAGUCCGGUGUGAAAAUGCGGGGCUCAACCCCGGAGGGCAUUGGAAACUGGAAUUCUUGAGUGCAGGAGAGGAAAGGGGAAUUCCCAGUGUAGCGGUGAAAUGCGUAGAUAUUAGGAGGAACACCAGUGGCGAAGGCGGCUUUCUGGACUGUGUCUGACACUGAGACGCGAAAGCUAGGGGAGCAAACGG